ACCUCAAGGCUUCUUCCUCUGGAUACUUCCUGGAGUUGGAGGAGGGUGAGGGGCCAUGUGAGGACCUUCUUGAGGACCUUCUUGAGGACCUUCUUGAGUGAAGGAAGGUGCCUGUGUGUAGAUGGGAAGGAGAGUGAUUCCCUGCUGACCUGAGUUCCAGAGUGAGCUCUGGGACUGAAUAGGAAAAGAGAAACCCCUCCCAGGAGACAAGUGUGUCUCGAGUGUGGCCCAGAGAGGAUUCUGGGAUUUGUGGUCCACCAAAAGUCAGUGAGGGCUAAGGAAACUAUCCUGUGAUAUAAGAUACUAAAGGGAUAUACAAUUCAUUCCGGGUUCAGCUUCCUUCUCAAGUAGAUCACUGGAUGCUCUUCUCCCCCCACCAGAUGUGACAAGACCGCACCUAAACCAACACCUGAAGCAUCAGUUUGUACAACAAAGUUCUUUUUAAAAAUCUGGAGUAACCAACACUGGGAGCUGACACAAGGCUGCUUUCAACUCUUUGAAUGUCUUCUGUGGUUUAGCUCCUCACUUAAUCAUUGUGGAUCAUUUCCCUUUUGUCAGAUCUGUGAAAGGGGCAGACAUGGUAGAAAGAAUUGAAAUAAACCACCGAUACGGUGCGGAUUUGCUUUUUA